UUGAUUUGUUUCCAAUUGGACUGAGUUCUGGUUCGCUCUGAGUUUCUUAGUCUGAAUAGGCUGAGUGCUCGGAGUGGAACAACUGGAACAAAAUGGCCGCAUAGCCGGGCAUAACGUGAUGUAACUAGAGAGACAUGGACAAACGCUGAACAACAAUCAAAUUAAAACAACCUUUAACUUGAUACUCAUUACUUCACUCACUGUUUUCCCAACAACCUAUACAUCAUAAACACUUAUCAACAAACCUUGAGCCAAACCAAGAUGACUCAAAGAAUAAAUAUUGGUAUUUACUGUUCCCCAAAAAACAAAAACAACAACUCUGAGAGCGUGUUACCACCACUGCAACGUGAACCGCUCUUUCCCCAAACUGUCAAAAGUUCUCCCCUCAUUAAGGCUUAGCCCCUCCCACAGGCCAAUUAACCAAACAUUUCUUUAAAUAAAACUCCUGCCUCACACCCGGGGAUGUCCUAAACAAAAGUAGAAAUAAUCAAACGUUAUUUUAACAGAAAUAAGUUUGAGACAAAAGCAUUUUGACAAAAAGAAAAAACUUGUGGCAUGUGACGUCACUUCCUGUUUCCUAUAUUUGUAUGAUGACGUGUACAAUCCUCAGGUUGGAAUGUUUGUGGUGGGAAGCCUGGAUGACUCAAAGAAAGGAACAAAGACGCAGUGUUGGUCUGGAGAGGUCAAGGCAGCUGGUGCACGUUGCCCGAGGCAGGCUGCCAUCACCCCCAGGCCUGAGCUGGGAGCGACAGUGCAGCCUCCCAGCCUCCAGAUGGCUCCAUCCCCUACGGCACUUUACUGCUGCUGUGACAUCUGUCAGAAUAACCAAGUUGCUUUUGUCUGCGCCCCCCACCCUCCUCGCUCUGCAUUCUACACUUGCAGCUCCUACAAACUGUUUGUGAAAAUAUAUUUCGGGGAAAUGCAUCUCUGAUGAUGUGACGAGUUGUGACAUUUGACUGUUGCUUGAUGACAUUAAACUAUGAGAAAGCGUUCAUUAGCCAAGCGCGUCAAACGUGACGGACUCACCUCGACUCGGGAAAUUUCGUCAAGGUGGCCAGGCUGCUGGUGUACAUGUGGCCGCCCACGUCGAUGUGCACGGGGGCGUUGGACUUGGUGAGCUGUGCCGGCGUAGGGAUGCCCUGGUUACUCAAGGGGGACACUGGUGAGCGUGUGAUCAUGGGUCUGGACAUGCUGGAGCGGUUAUCCUAAUGGAAGCAGAGACACAAAAAAUUCAAAUUAAAAAAGAUGAUUGUGAACUGUUUGCCAAGAGUUAAAAACAAACUAUUUUUUCCUGCAGGAUGGAGCAGCCUGACCUUGACCUGGAUGUUGCCACAAUCCAUGAGCAUCUCCUCCUGUGGGCCAUGAUCUCCAAAUUAAUUUGGGGCAUCAAUCUCUUUUGGAGACGAGCAAUAAUGACUCUUGAUUUGAAUACCAUAAUAGGAUUUUUUAGAGGGGAAGCUGCAUGAUGUUAACCUACAAACACCAUUUGGAGACACUUUUUGGAAGAAAGUUUUAGCGCCGUCUCUGCAUGAUGGUCAAGACGAAUGAAUGAGUUUAACAAUAAUAUUAAAGUGGUGAAAGCUGCAGAAGGCUGUGCGCAGUUUGUUGUAAAUGACGCAAGGGGAGGCUAAAACAUUGCGUUUUUUUUGUUUUAUUUUGGAAGUUGUUUGCGCGUCUUACCUGCGCCGGCAUGACUGCGGUCGGAGAGGAAUUCACCGAGUGGUCGUUUUGCUUGAGAGAUGCUGCGGGGAGAGGCUCUCCUCUGACCGCGAACAUCAGCGCGGGCUCCCUGCACUCCGCCGCCCGCAUCGGCAGCCGUUUGAGGGACGCGUGCACGGACUCGUCCACGGAGCUGACCGGGCGCGGGCGCUUCUUCGCUUUCUGGUGCGUCAAGUCCAUGAUAUCCGUUUCCUCCAUCGCGGCUAUUAAGAGAUCGGACGAGGUUGAUUGGUGUGAGAUUUAAAAAUAAAAAAUAAAAAAAAGACGCGAUUGCGCGCGAGGAUCACCGGGAGGAAGAGCGGCGGCGGCGCCGUGGCUGUCACGCGGAGCAGCUCCUUUGCAGUGGCGGGGAGAAGUCAAAGCCCCCGACAACAUUAGCAUUGUAGCGCCCGCGGCGCUUCUGGGCUGUCGCUGCUUCAGUGGCAGGUAUGUGUGCCGCAUUUUCGGAGUAAAACGGUUCCUGCCCGACAAAAAAAAUGAGGCGGACGCACAUCUGGACCCUACGCAGCUGGCCCUUUGGCCCCGUGGAGCGGCUCGGUCACCUCCUCCUCUAAUUUCAGCUCCCAUUCUUCAGCUCCUCUUUUUUUCAGCUCUAUUUUCAGCCAAGACUUCUUAAAAAAAUCAAAUCUGUGACAUCACUCUGUUUAACAUGCUCAACUACACGUCCCUGAACGCACCACUACACUCAGAACCGACUCACCUGAUGCGUUCAAAAGCACCAAAUUCCUCAGAAAUUACAACAUCCUUCGCACAAACACAUUUUAAAACUGAAAUUUGUGGUUCUGACAUGCAAACAGGCUCUGUUACACCUCCGGGCAAAACCGAGCCCCAAUGACACCACAACACAUGUUAGACCCCAUUGUCUGAAGAUGGUACAAGUUCGGCCCAGAUGUUGAUUUCUGGACACACACAACAGUCACCAUGUAGUGCCAUAACUGAUAAGAUUUGUCUUUUAUCUGGGUUUACUACAAAAAGGAACCCAAAUAAAUCACUUUUAGAAACUUCAUUUGGUUUCUAGAAAAAGAAAGUUUAAAAAGAUUUUAUUUUUUCCAAGUAGUUUUAUAAAACUACACAAAAACACCUCCUCCAGCGACAUGUGUACAUGGGGUAACAAAAACAGACACGUCUAACUCCACUUUCUUUCCCAGCACUCUUCCAGGAUAAGAUUUUCAGAAGAAAAUGCAGAGAAUCGAGGUUUUUCAGAUCUAUUUUAAGUUAAAAGUUCUAAAAAAAAAAAUCUUUAACAUCACUCUGUUUAACAUGCUCACUUCUAUGUCCCUGAACGCACCAUCCCACUCAUAACCGACUCACCUGAUGCAUUCAGGAGCACCGAAUUCCUCAGACAUUUCAACACAUUUUGAAACAGAACUUUGUGGUUCAAACAUCUAAACAAUCUUUGUCACAAUGACCCACAUCUGCAUUCUCCUUUUCCUUAUUUUGCCUUUUUUUCUGAGCCUUUGGACAAAACCGAGCCCUUAUGAUACGUAUCUCAACUAUGUCAGACCCCAUUGGUUGAAGCUGGUACAUGACAGUGAGACCAAGUUAGGCCCAGCUAUUGAUUUCUGGUCAUAAACACAACCAUGCAGUGCCAUAACUGAUAAAAUUGCUCUUUUAUAUGGGUUUUUAGUACAAAAAUGUACCCAAAUAAACCACUUUUAGAAACUUCAGUGGGUUUCUAGAAAAAGGAAAGUUUAAAAAUAUUUUAUUUUUCCAAGUAGUUGUAUAGAACUACACAAAAACACGUCCUCCAGCGACGUGUGUAUAUAUAUGGGGGUACAAAAACAGACACGUCCAACUCCACUUACUUUCCCAGCACUCUUCCGGGAUAAUUUUUCAGAAGAAAAUGCAGGGAAUCCACAAAUUUUAAUAACAUUCAGAUUAAAAUUAAUUAGUUCAACCACUGGCCUUAAAACAUCCACAUUUCUGCUUCUCAUUGGCAGUGUUGGUUUCACACCUAGACACCCAAUUAGCAAUUAAGCUUGCCUUUGAGUGUAGGCCUCCAAUGCAGUGUGUGAUCCUGGUUUGAUUUGCAUGCCACUUGUGCACGCGCUGAUAAGCACAGGCAGCAGCCAUACAUAGUUUUAAAAUUCAACUCCAGAAUCCCUCGCAGAAGGCAAAGGGGCCUGCGGGGCAUAAGAGAGAGAAAUCACAUGGCUGCUCUUCAAAAGGGGACCUGUGUAAGGCAGCCGGCAAAGUGCGUGGGAUCACACUCAGAAUGCAGAUCGAUGUUGUGGCCGGAGACAGACUUGACCCCGCAGUCUUCAGUUUCCACCUCUUUGUAAGUCCCUGAUGGGGCCUUCUUGAAGAUUUGAUGCAUUUUCUUCUUUAUCUCAGGGUCGGGGCAGUACAGGUACUCGUAAAAACCUGCAGCCAGCAGCCCUCCGAGAAUGGGACCCAGCCAGUACACCUACGAAAACAAAGGAGAGGCUUUGGUUGGUGGCAAUCCAUUGAUUUUCUUCCCCAUGAUUUCAUUUAAAAAGUGGAACAGUUUGGUUUUAAGAUGAGAAUUGGGGAAUCACAUAACAGUUAUAAAUUUAAGCCGCAAGCAGGGCCGGCCCUGGGCAUAGGCAACGUAGGCGGCUGCCUAGGUUGCCAUCUGGUGGAGGGGGCGCCCAGUGAUUUUUUUCUUUUCUUUUUUUUGUUAAACAGUCUGACACACCACUCAUUUGAAGUAAAAAUAAAAAUAAUGUCUGUGUUUGGGGGAGGGGAGGAGAGGGAGGCGCUUCUUUAAAACAUUAAGGAUGAAAAAAGGAAGAGGAGGAAACAACGACUCAAAACAGAGGUUUGUAUGUUUUUUUUAAUAUAAAAUUACAUGGGAAUUUACUCUUCCGGUUCAUUUUGGUAGAAAAAGACAAAUUUAACUGGCGAUCUAGUGUUUUUUUUUCCUCCCAACACCUUAAACAGCUAAAAUUCCCCUAAUUUCCAUGAAAGUAUUAGCUGAUCGGUGGUGCAAUUAGUUAGCACGCUUGAUUUCAAAUGCAUGGUUACCCAGUUCGGUGUUGUUGUAUGGCCUGCAGGGCUAGCCACCCUUGGUACUCCCCCACCUUUAACCCACUUUCACAGGUUGAGCAGCUGCUUCAGUCACUUUAACCUCCCCCGCUGCCUGGCCAGAGCUCCACACGAUAAAUUUAUGAAAAAAUACUUUUUUUCAAAAUGGUGGCUUUUCUGUUGGUUUUUCUCCAUAGCAACAAUUUUAAGUUUUGGCAGCCUAAGAGUGACGGACAGGUCUAUGUCAUUUUUUAGAAGAAUUGGCAAAAGUACAUUUUUGGAUUUCCUUGGCAACAGAGGCUUUUAGUGAACCACAUCCACAUUCCUUAUAUAGUCAUAUCUUAUGUUAUUUUGUUUCAUUCAGCUUGAUCCAAGGAUUCAUGUAAUCAAUUUUCUCAAUAUAAAGGUAAAAAAUAUGCGACCAAAAGAAGAACACCACUUUUAGGAGCUUGCAACGCUAGCGUGGUUCAAAAUCUACAACUUCAAAUUCCAACAUUUUUUCCAAGUAUUUCCCCAAUGAUGGUCGAGGAAUUAGGAGGGGAUCGAUAAAAAUCUUAGAUGAAAUUUGUAGUUUUUUUUUUCGUUCUUUUGUUUUUUAAUUCAAGCUGGCAGCCUCUUCCCGAGGUCAAAAGUCAACAAAACUACAGUGGUGGUUGUUGAAGAUGGCAGGAUGUGUGUGUAAUUUUGUAAAUCUUGCUCAAACUAAAGUUAAUUUUCCUAUAUUGUGGGAAGAUAUGAAAAUGGAGAAGUUCUAUGCUUUGCCACAAAAUGGCCAUCAUGCUGCAGUACCUUUGACCAUCCCAUAAUAAUUUCAAAAGUUCCGUUAGAUAUCCUGUCUCGUGUGUUUUUUGUUAGAGAAUUGGAAAGCUCUGUUCAUUUCUUUGAUGGUUUCUCCUGCUGUGAUAUCGACAAUUCUUUUUUUUUUUGUUUUUUUUCUUUUGUCUUUCAAUGUCAAAAUUAAUUUUCACCGGUUACUAGGAGUGUCCAAAUUUUGGUGACUUUUUAAGUAUGUGGCAGUAAUGCAAUUAAUUAAUUAUUUAGUAAUGUAAUUACUAAUGUCCAGUAAGAAAGAAGAAUUACGAAAACAAUCUGGUAAACAAUGUAAAAAUGUGUUCAAUUUAAUCAAUUUAAAAUGUUAUUUCUUGAAUAAAUAAACAAGGGAACAUACAGUAGUCUGCACUACAUCAUGGAUAGGCAACUCCAGGCCUCAAGGGCCGCAGUGUCUACAUGAUUUCCAAAUAUCCAAGCCCUACUCAUAAGUGAUUACCUGGUUCAAGUGUGUCCAACCAAUUAGAAGAUCCCAUUUUGGAAAACAUGCAGGAGUUGCAUAUCAUACAGUAAAUGUGAAAAAAAAAAAAAAA